AACUGGCAAACAACAGAAGUUUAUUUCCCAAGUUUCCAGAGAUUGGGAAUAGUCCAUGCUGGAGGCUGGGGCAGAUUGCAUGUGCAUUUAAGAGUGUUCUUUCUGACCCGUCCAUGGCCAUCUUCCUGCUAUGUUUUCAUGUGCUCGAUGGUUGAGGGAGUUCUCUGGGAUCUCCUUGUUAGCAGCUUCAGUUUCAUUUAUGAGCUAGCUCUCCAUCAUCAUGAGAUAGUCACCUCUCUAACCACCCAGAUUUUUACCAUGUCACAAUGACAGAGGGGUGGGCAGAGGCAGGAGCACGGUCCACAGCAUAGCCAGAUCUCCACACAUCAUCAGUUGAGGCCUCGGCCAUGACUACAUCCCAGUUCAGCCCUUCCUCUGUUCUUUGCCCCUCCCUUCGUUUUGCUGUAACUCCAAGGGCUCUCUUUUCCAAAGGACACUUGUCUGCAAAGCUGGAACGCACGGUGUGUGUUCCUAAGCGUCUUUAUUUCGGGUGUUCAGAGGGAGCAUCUGAGGGGAGAACCGUGAAUUUCCACUUCUCUCUCCUCUGUGACAGCUCCAUUACCUGCCUUGGAAAGUCUUUUCUCUGGACCUGGAAGAAGAAGAUCAAAAAAUGGUGUCUUCUCCUACAAUUGUUCCUUGCAAUCAUGCAAUAAUGUCAUUGGAUCAAUAGAGCUGGUGUCCACUCUGCCAGGUUGUACCCUCCACCAAGUGUCCCAGAGCCCACCCACGCAGCAUCCUUCUGGUGGCUGAGGAAGGCUUAAUGUCCGCAUCCCCAAAGGAGUGCUAAAGCCAUCGCAAAAGAAAUAUCUGUUUUCUUGUAUGCAUCCUGCAGGCACUUUCCUAAGUGGUGCCAACCCACAGGCGGGGAAACUUGGUUGGCUGCCUUACUAAAUCUUCACCUGCCUGACCCCAGCCUGACAAUUCCUUAACAUUCAUGGAGACUAGACAAUGCUCUGCACAGCUGAGCGCCAUCAGCAGCAAAGCGGCAAACGUCAGAGUCCGGGCUGGAUGAGGGUAAGAGAGUUUGGGAAGGCAGAUCAGCACACACAUCACGGCCCAGGCAUGGUGGUGGCAGAGUCAGCCUGUCGCGUGCUCCUGUGCAGAACCCUUCCUGCUCUGUAACGUGUCAGGCUGUCAUGCUGCGUCUUCCCUUGUGUGUAAGUGGUAAGGUGUGAGUUUAAU
rnacentral:lncRNA from 1 species